CAACUUCAAACAGGAGAAUUCAGUUGGACAGUCACCCUUAUUUAGCAUUACACAAGGCAAGCUGACGCACGAAUUCUUUUGUUGCUGCUUGCCGGCGUCGGCGGGCAGCAAUCCUCUCU
rfam:Pantoea sp. At-9b, complete genome.